rnacentral:sRNA from 1 species
GCAAGUUUUCAAACGUGCACACUCGAUUAUUUAUUUGACGUGUCGCACUUUCGAAAAUAUCCUUCAUAAUGUUAAGGAUAUCCGUUUGUUUUUCUAUGUUCUUAGUCCUCAACAGUUUGAUAAGGAGAUGUCACUGUGUUGUGUAUACUUAUGAAGAUAUUGAAUUAAGAAGAAUAUUUCCAAGUGAAUUCCCUCAAGAUACUGUAAGGAAAAGUGGUUCAGCAGAUCCAGAG